ACUUCUGGCCACAGUCCUCCACAGAGAGACCAGUGUGCUGAAGCCCCUUCCCUCUGCAUGGGAAGAUGGUCGUGGCCCUUGGUUAAAACCAACAAAAAAGCAAUGGAGUCAUUCUUAGAGCUGAAAUGAUCUGCAGGGGAGUGGGAGAAUGCUCAAGCAAAUGUGUUGAAUCUGAAAGGUCUUGCCAAAGGUCAACUGAUUUGUGAGGUCAUGGAAGGAGAAAUUUUGCAGGAGUGAACGCGGGACGUGCCACUACGGACAAUGUCCUGCUAAAUACUUACAUUUUGGAUCGUGUGGGCCUUUCACAUACUGUUGUGUCCUCAAAUGAAAUUCGCGU